GUGGAUUUUCUGCCAUUUACACUGGAUGCAUUGAUUAUAUUAUAUGUACUAAUUCUAAAUAUCUCUUGCAGAUGAUUUAUUGAAGUAGGUGAUUCGUUUGCAAUCUACUUGUGAUUAGGUCUUAUUUUAUUGGUCAUUGGUGGUCUUGUGAUAUUAUAUAGAGGGAAUUCAAAUUAAAUGGCUGGUCAAUUUUGGUCUUUGUUUACAAAAGUUUAAAUAGUUUAAUUAUUUAGUAUCCAGACUUUGUAGUUACUUUUCAUAGAAGGAUUGAAUCCUUCAGUGAUCUUGGAUACAUUUAUUUUCAGUCAGGAACCACAAAUAUAGCAUAUUUUGAUAAUGAUAUUAUGUAUUGACCAUAGAUCCAUGAUAUAUUGAUCUGUAUAAGGACACUAGGAUAGAAGUUAAAUAGUGUAGCUGUUGAUGUUAUAUAUUGUACAAACUCAGUUCCACAAAUUGGGUUAGUGUAUGUAAUUGUAAGAUGAAUGCAUGUGAUGUACAAUUGAUGAAUAAAGAACCCUAUGACUCA